AUUGAACGCUGGCGGCAGGCUUAACACAUGCAAGUCGAGCGGGGAAGGUUGCUUCGGUAACUAACCUAGCGGCGGACGGGUGAGUAAUGCUUAGGAAUCUGCAUAUUAGUGGGGGACAACAUUCCGAAAGGAAUGCUAAUACCGCAUACGUCCUACGGGAGAAAGCAGGGGAUCAUUUGACCCUGCGCUAAUAGAUGAGCCUAAGUCGGAUUAGCUAGUUGGUGGGGUAAAGGCCUACCAAGGCGACGAUCUGUAGCGGGUCGGAGAGGAUGAUCAGCCACACUGGGACUGAGACACGGCCCAGACUCCUACGGGAGGCAGCAGUGGGGAAUAUUGGACAAUGGGGGCAACCCUGAUCCAGCCAUUCCGCGUGAGUGAAGAAGGCCUUCGGGUUGUAAACUGCUGUCAGGGGCUAACAAGCGAUUCCGGCGAACAGCCGGGAAAGUUGAGUAGCUCCAGAGGAAGUCUCGGCUAACUCUGUGCCAGCCGCCGCCGUAAAAC
rnacentral:rRNA from 1 species